GCGCUCGUAGCUCAAUUGGAUAGAGCAUCUGAUUACGGAUCAGAAGGUUGGGGGUUCGAGUCCCUCCGAGCGCGCCA
rnacentral:tRNA from 1 species